CCUACAAAUUCACCUUUAUUUAUUUAUUUAAAACCUUACAUAUUUUUUAUUAUUUUUUUUGGCAGUUUCACGGCUUGCGGGACCUUAGUUCCCUGACUAAGGAUUGAACCUGCGCCCCCUGCAGUGGAAGCGCGGAGUCUUAACCACUGGACCGCCAGGGAAGUCCCACAAACUCACCUUUAAAAGAAGGGAGCCUCAAUAAUGUCUUGUAUUUAAAUUCCAUUUCCCAAUGCUUACGGUUGACAUUCAUCUAAUUAGUGAUCUGAUUCAAUCCAAAACAUUUUUAUGGGAUGCCUAUUGUGUGCCCAGCAGAAAUACACUCUGAAACUAAAAAUCUUUUUUUAUUGACUGAAUUAUAGUUGACUUAAAAUAUUAUAUUUGAAACUAAAAAUCUUUUAUAUUGGAUAAACAUAAUGAGAAUUUAUAUCCCAGUAUUGCAAAUAUUGAGUAAAGACCUUGCUGUUUCAGUAAAAAUCAAUUUAAAAGGAUUUUUUUCCCCAUUCCUUCCAAAACAACCUAGAAGAUAAUGGCAUUUCUCCCUUAAACAUUAUAUAAGAAAAUCUCCUUUACAUUAAUAAAGUAAGAGACAGAAUUUUUUAAUUUACUUUUUUCCUUUGAGCAAAGAUUUUUUCUAUUUUUAUUAAAUUUUAAUGAAAAAUAAUAAAUACACUGCUUAAAACCAACUGAAACAUUAGAAAAGGAUAUCCAGUGGGAAGUAGGUCCACACCUCUCAGAAGUGUUCCAGGCACAUACAAACAUGUGUUUUAUAUCAAUUUAUAGCUCCAUCUUUGCACAUCAUCUUAUUCUCUGCUUUUUUUCACAGGUGCCAUGUAUUCUUCUGUGCCCUGAUGUUUUUCACUUAAGUAAUUUUGGAGGUUUUCCCAGAACAGUACAUGUAGAUCAAGCUCACUUUCAAUGCUGCAUGGUAUUCCAGGAUGGAGAUCUGGGGAGACAGAGUGGUAAGAAGAAUGGAAACGAUCUUUCCUGAUUGAUAUUAUUGUGGUCAGUCUUCUCCAGACUCGGCAGAUAUUUUAAGGCACUUCAGCUGAGUCCUGUGCAUGCUAAGGUCUGAGAACUCUGACCUUGAGAGAAGGAGAGGCUGGGAAGCCUUAGAAGGGACCCUGUAACAUUGCUAAGGAAGAUGGUUAUUGGAGAAUGACUGUGGAUUCUUAUGGAAUCAUUCAGGUACCGGACCAGAUGUAGCCUCUUUACUGGAUAACACAACAGUGCUUCUGGUACUUUGAAGGCAACCAUUGAUCUGGCGGUUGCUUUUUUUCCUCAACACCAAAUUAGCAAAGAUCCCCAGGUGGAGUUUGCUCCCAAUUAGCAGGAUCAGCAAAACACCCUCCCUGUCUUACCUCAGACCUCUGUGACUCUUCCGCUGUCUGACAACAUCCAGUCUGCAGGGGCCUUGAUCAUCUUGAUAUUCCCCAGAACACCAUGCUAAUAUAUUACAUUAUUGACACGACAUCGCCAGAUAUCCUAGGGGGAGCAAAACUGCUGUCACUUGAGAAUCGCUGGCCUACAGCAUGUCUAGCAAUACACUGAUCUACCAAGCCAUACGGCUGGCGUACACAGCAGCAAUUGUCGUCCAGUGUAGGCAGUGUACACCAGACUGGAGUUGAGCAGGUCCUGAAUGUGCAGAUGGUGGAGGAAGAAACUGUUUGGACCAGGUUCACAUAUGGUCCCUUACAAUUUGAAGGCAUCAGAUAGAUGUGGACUGUAGAAGCAUUAUAGCCCAAAGCAGGAAUGCGUUGUGAAGCAGAGGAAGGUGCUAUUAGAAGUACCAGGUCUGACAUCAACACGAAUUGGUUUUACCUCUUGCUGGAAAGUAGCUGAUCCAUCAAUAAGGAUCCCAUCCUCUUUCAAAAAUGAAUCGUUUAAUCAUGUCAAAAGAUCUCAAAGGCUGAUCAUAGGGCAAAAUGUGGCCUCCACCUCGAACAAUUACCUUAAAGAAGAAAAACAGAAGAAAAACUGAAAUCUAGACAAUCGGAUAUUCCAGAUAAAUGGAAAGUUUUAAUUUGGAUUUAAGUAUUCUUAAAGCUUACAUGAAAUAAAGAACA